CACAAGAUAGCUUACACACCAAAGCGUAGGUCUUUAAACCUAAGAAAGUAUAUUUUACUUAUUGUGAA
rnacentral:tRNA from 1 species